UACUCACGCAGCCCACCACCGGCCACCAGCCCACCACCACGCCACGCCACCACCGUCGCGCGCCUCUCAAUCUCUGUAUCUCACGAGAAGGUUACUCACUCACUCUUAGUGCUCUGCGUUGCCAACGUUGGGAAUCUGCACAGCUGCACUCAAGAGAAAUGGGUUUACAGUCACAUAUGUGUUUUAAGCAACUUUCCUACUUUUCCCUUCCUACACUUUUCACGAUCCAAGUUCAACCUUCCUUCACUUUUCCACUCCCAAUCGCGCAUUGAUCACAAAAAUUCGCCCUUUUCUCAAAUCACAGUAAAAGUGAGGAUCUUGUUUGUUUCAAACCAGUAUGAUGGUCUUUGCUGGUAAUUGUUGAUGAUGAUGAUGGCUUUGUAUAUAAGGUUAAGGAGAUAACAGAAAGAAAGAAGUGAAGGAAUAAAAUGGGAGCUACUACUAUGUUGCCUGAUGUAGCAAUUAGGCUUCUUCCGCGAUGUCCCUUUGUUCUCAGGCACCCUUUUAUCUGUAGAGUAACUUCAAUUAGAUCAAUAAGAAAAAGAUCUCUUGCUUUUGGGCCUGUUGGAUUCUUGGGCUGAUUGGAGUAUCUCAUCUACUAACUUCAGUUAGGGUUAGGGUUUAGGGUGUUCAGUAACCUACCUCCCUCUUACCGUGUUUUCCGGCCGCCGCCGUCGCCAGUGAAGCUAUUGUGCCUAUCUCCGUCAUUCUCAGAGGUAGGAGCUGACCCCUCUCACCGGCCAGCUGUCCCAGCGUUCACUUAUCGAUGCACGAUCCCUAAGGGCCUACUAUUUCGCCAAACCAUGGCUUUCUCUCUUGGACGAACGCUCGACCCUCUCCUCCCUCUACCGUGUAGCCUCUGCACCAUGGCGGUCUCCCUUGUACGAACGCCCGUCCCUCUCCUGCCUCUACCGUGUAGCCUCUGCAACAAUUCUCUACUCCUUCCCUGGGCUAUUCGGUUUUCUCUUCUCUGCUCUGCCCUAUGGAGAUCACUUUACAGCUAUGCAGGUCUAGAGAUUCAGCAUCUUCACAAUAUCUUCCAUGGAUUUUACUGAGAUCCUACCAAAUCCAAAUCUGAGGUUGCUUCACUCCAUAUCCAGCUGGAGAUUGUGAGCCUCUGCCAUGGGAAAGACACAUGGAGAGAAUUCGGGUUCGGGUGUUGAGGAUGUGGGAGAUGUAACCAAUAUCUGAGCCAGGCAAGCCAGUUGCAGUGCAGCUGGUGCUAAUUGAUGCUGAGAUUGUUUCCCUAACAAAGAUUGUAAUACUGGGUUAACAACUCAAUUUGCUGGUGGAAUCAAGGUUGUGGCGAUGGGAUUCAUAACAUUCAUCCGCUUGACACGGAACAUGCCAAGGAAAAUCACUGAAGUUGGCGUAUGGUAGCUCUGUGUAUUAUGAUGGCAACAUAAUGAAAGCACCAGAAAUUUCCAUUGAUGAACACAUGGCCCUGAUGAAGCGCAUGGCUGAACUAGAAGAGAAGGUGAAUGCCCUGAUGAAGCGCAUGGCUGAACUAGCAUAUGGAGUACCUUAAAUUCAGGUCAUUAAAGAAUUCAUAGUUGAUCUGUGUUUCUGUGCAAAAAAAAAUAUGGAUGUAGGCGUUUAUGGUUCUUUUGACUGAAAAUAUUUUUACGUUAAUUUUAUUAGACUAAUUCCAGUUUUAGUGUAACACAUAAAUUUUUUUUUGGUAAAAUUGAUGCCUAUAUAUAUAAUUGUUUGGCAAAUGCUUUUUGCUUUAUCUAUAUCUGUCCAAUUACAAGUUAUAUUUACAACUCUUUUCUUUGUUCAAUUUAAGAGUAAACUUGACUAAAAUCUCAAUUUGUUUCUGCUUCAUAUAAAUCACAUCAGAGGCAGUAUGUAUCAUCAUGAUUCAUGUGAAGUUGAGAAGUGAGAACAAAAUUGCUUGAUAGAUAGUAAUAGUAUAUAUUAGCUCUGUACAUAACUUGAAGGGGCCUAAAACUUGAACUCUUGAAGCCACAGAAGACCAUCGUGUUUAUCUUUGAGCUGAUUCAUGCAUAUGUGUGAGUAUUACAUAGUACAAGGGUGUCUCUCAGGUAAGUUUAUUAGAAAACUUCAGUUCAUAGAAUUUAUAUGUUCACUGUGUUUUUUCUUUUUUCUGGGAAUGAGAAUUUUAUUUUUACGGUAUAGGGGUUUGAUAAGUGCUUUGAAUUUGCCAUUACCACUAAUAUACAAAAAAAUGCACAAAUUCUGUAAUGUCCUUUCCUUUUGUUCAUUUGAAAUGGUAGCCAAUAGCUUAAUUCAUGCAGUUAUGGGAAAGAUUCAUGUUUUAUUUGUGGAGGGAAUUUAAUCAAGAAGCCUUAUUGGUAUGUCAUUUAUGCAGUAAUUUGAAGUUGUUGUUUCAUCACAAAACCUUUGGGUAGGAAGUGAUGUGUUUAAUUUUCUGCAUUGACAUUUCUUCACUUGGAGUGGAUGAGUAGACAGUUCUUAGUAUUUGGUGAGUCGUUGGAGUCAAGUUCAAAAACUACCAAGAGCUAAUAAUGCAUUUAAAGGAUUAAUGGUUAGUUGACUUAGUUCUGAUUUUGUAAAGGGAAUACUGACUUAAAGGAUGUGUACCAAAGGUUUAUUUCUAAUUGUUUAGAUAUUGUGACACCAAUGAAUUUAGCUUCUAUUAAGCAGAUAGAAAUCAGAUGAGCAUGUUAAAUUGAUAGGAAUAUUGUAGACAAUUAAAACAAGAUGACUGACACUGUAACAUGGUUAUACCUUACUUCAUAAAUGGAAUGAGGUAGAGCAAGAGAUUCAUCAUAAAACUUACAAAACACCCACUGUAUAUAUCUUGGUAGUUAACAGUACGCUUUUUAGAUUGUUGAUUUUUCACACUAUAGGAACAGUUGGAGCCAAAAAUGAGUGGCUGCGCAGCAUGCUCCAGAGGAGAUUGACCCUUCCUCGAGUCAGUCCAGUCAGAAAGGAGCAAAGAUUCCCGACCCAGAGCAUGUUAUUGACUCAACCACAAAUCUAUUGAAUGAGUGUUAGGGACAAUUCUUGAUUCUAAUGGAGGAGUUCACUCAGAAGUGUACAAAAGCUGAUGAUAAGUGGACUGAGCGUAGAAUCGACGGCGUGAGAUACCAGUAGGACUAGAUGACAAUGUCAGGAAAUGGAAACAUCUCGCAGUGGAGAAUGAGGAGAAAGCUAGCAAUACUGCUAAGUAUCAACUUAAAUGUUGGCUUUCAUUUUGCUAAUUUUUUCAGGCUUGCUUGGUCAUUCAAACUUGCAAAUUAGAACUGAUUGGCUUUAAACUGAAGAGCUCAUGGGACUCGAAUUUAUAUUGUCUUUUGUACAGUUCGCAAUUUUUGUGCAUUAUGGUGUCUAUUGACUGUUUACUAACUUCAAUAGAGUUUGUUACGAUUA